rnacentral:Y_RNA from 1 species
GAUUUGUCAGAGUAUAGGGUUGUUUACAAGUACUUGAUCACAACCAUUUAGAGAUUUCUUGUUCCUUCUCCAUUCCCACUUCUUCACUUGACUUAA